rnacentral:rRNA from 1 species
UACCCGCUGAACUUAAGCAUAUCAAUAAGCGGAGGAAAAGAAACUAACAAGGAUUCCCCUAGUAACGGCGAGUGAAGAGGGAAAAGCUCAAAUUUUAAAUCUGGUGUCUUUGACUCCCGAGUUGUAAUCUAGAGAAGUGUUUUCCGUGUCGGACCGUGUACAAGUUCCCUGGAACGGGGCGUCAUAGAGGGUGAGAAUCCCGUAUAUGCCACGGACUACCGAUGCUCUGUGAUACACUCUCAACGAGUCGAGUUGUUUGGGAAUGCAGCUCAAAAUGGGUGGUAAAUUCCAUCUAAAGCUAAAUAUUGGCGAGAGACCGAUAGCGAACAAGUACCGUGAGGGAAAGAUGAAAAGCACUUUGGAAAGAGAGUGAAACAGUACGUGAAAUUGUUGAAAGGGAAGCGUUUGAAGUCAGUCGCAUCUGUUGGGGUUCAGCCUGGCUUUUGCCUGGUGUAUUUCCUUUCCGAUGGGUCAGCAUCAGUUUCGACCGAGGGAAAAAGACAUUUGGAAUGUGGCUGUCUUCGGGCAGUGUUAUAGCCUUGUGUUGUAUGUCUC